UACAGAGGGUGCAAGCGUUGUUCGGAAUCAUUGGGCGUAAAGCGCACGUAGGCGGCUUUGCAAGUCGGGUGUGAAAGCCUGGGGCUCAACCCCAGAAGUGCAUUCGAAACUGCAGAGCUUGAGUCUUGGAGAGGGUGGUGGAAUUCCGAGUGUAGAGGUGAAAUUCGUAGAUAUUCGGAAGAACACCAGUGGCGAAGGCGGCUCACUGGACUGGUAUUGACGCUGAGGUGCGAAAGCGUGGGGAGCAAACAGG
rnacentral:rRNA from 1 species